rnacentral:rRNA from 1 species
GGGGAAUAUUGCACAAUGGGGGAAACCCUGAUGCAGCGACGCCGCGUGGAGGAAGAAGGUCUUCGGAUUGUAAACUCCUGUUGUUGAGGAAGAUAAUGACGGUACUCAACAAGGAAGUGAUGGCUAACUAUGUGCCAGCAGCCGCGGUAAAACGUAGGUCACAAGCGUUGUCCGGAAUUACUGGGUGUAAAGGGAGCGCAGGCGGGAAGACAAGUUGGAAGUGAAAUCCAUGGGCUCAACCCAUGAACUGCUUUCAAAACUGUUUUUCUUGAGUAGUGCAGAGGUAGGCGGAAUUCCCGGUGUAGCGGUGGAAUGCGUAGAUAUCGGGAGGAACACCAGUGGCGAAGGCGGCCUACUGGGCACCAACUGACGCUGAGGCUCGAAAGUGUGGGUAGCAAACAGGAUUAGAUACCCUGGUAGUCCACACUGUAAACGAUGAUUACUAGGUGUUGGAGGAUUGACCCCUUCAGUGCCGCAGUUAACACAAUAAGCAUUCCGCCUGGGGAGUACGGCCGCAAGGUUGAAACUCAAAGAAAUUGACGGGGGCCCGCACAAGCAGCGGAGCAUGUGGUUUAAUUCGAAGCAACGCGAAGAACCUUACCAGGUCUUGACAUCCACUUAAAGCCGUAGAGAUACGGUGUGAGCUUGCUCAAAGUGAGACAGGUGGUGCAUGGUUGUCGUCAGCUCGUGUCGUGAGAUGUUGGGUUAAGUCCCGCAACGAGCGCAACCCUUAUGGUCAGUUACUACGCAAGAGGACUCUGGCCAGACUGCCGUUGACAAAACGGAGGAAGGUGGGGAUGACGUCAAAUCAUCAUGCCCCUUAUGACCUGGGCUACACACGUAAUACAAUGGCGGUCAACAAAGGGAUGCAAAGCCGCGAGGCAGAGCGAACCCCAAAAAGCCGUCCCAGUUCGGAUCGCAGGCUGCAACCCGCCUGCGUGAAGUCGGAAUCGCUAGUAAUCGUGGGUCAGCAUACCACGGUGAAUACGUUCCCG